UACGGGGGGGGCAAGCGUUGUUCGGAAUUACUGGGCGUAAAGGGCUCGUAGGCGGCCAACUAAGUCAGACGUGAAAUCCCUCGGCUUAACCGGGGAACUGCAUCUGAUACUGGAUGGCUUGAGUUCGGGAGAGGGAUGCGGAAUUCCGGGUGUAGUGGUGGAAUGCGUAGAGAUCCGGAGGAACACCAGCGGCGAAGGCGGCAUCCUGGACUGGUCCUGACACUCAGGAGCGAAAGCGUGGGGAGCGAUCCGG
rnacentral:rRNA from 1 species